UACAGAGGGGGCUAGCGUUGUUCGGAAUUACUGGGCGUAAAGCGCGCGUAGGCGGACCUGCAAGUCGGGGGUGAAAGCCCGAGGCUCAACCUCGGAACUGCCUUCGAUACUGCGGGUCUCGAGUCCGGGAGAGGUGAGUGGAAUUCCUAGUGUAGAGGUGAAAUUCGUAGAUAUUAGGAAGAACACCAGUGGCGAAGGCGGCUCACUGGCCCGGUACUGACGCUGAGGCGCGAAAGCGUGGGGAGCGAACAGG
rnacentral:rRNA from 1 species